UACGGGGGGGGUAAGCGUUGUUCGGAAUUACUGGGCGUAAAGGGCUCGUAGGCGGCCAACUAAGUCGGACGUGAAAUCCCUCAGCUUAACUGGGGAACUGCGUCCGAUACUGGAUGGCUUGGAUUUGGGAGAGGGAUGCGGAAUUCCAGGUGUAGCGGUGAAAUGCGUAGAUAUCGGGAAGAACACCCGUGGCGAAGGCGGUUCUCUGGGACGGUACUGACGCUGAGACGCGAAAGCGUGGGGAGCGAACAGG
rnacentral:rRNA from 1 species